UUUCUUUUACUUUUUACUUUGCAUCUCUAUACCAAAAAUACCAAAAAUAUUAUUUAUCAUCUCUAUCAGAUCUCACUUUCGUAAGUGACCGUGAAGGGAUUGACAACCCCUAAGCGCAUUGGUUGCGUUGAGCUAUUGUUUUUGUGUAAGUACGAGGGACUCGCGCGUAGCCUCCUACUGGAUUGAUACCUUGGUUCUCAAAAACUGAGGGAAAUACUUACGCUACUUUGCUGCAUCAUCCUCUCCUCUUCGGGGAAAUCCAACGCGGUGCUCAAGAGGUAGCAAGAAGAAUUUCUGGCGCCAUUGCCGGGGAGUCUGCGCAAAAGUCAACAUACCAAGUACCCAUCAUAAUCCCUAUCUCCCGCAUUACAUUAUUUGCCUUUUGCCUCUCGUUUUCCUCUCCCCCCCCCCAAUUCACCCUUGCCGUUUUAUUCGCCCUCUCUCUCUCUCUAUCCUCCCUCUCUUCCUCUAUUUGCCUCUUUUUGCCCGUUUGCCUUUUUGUUUGCUCGUGUGUUAGUUUGCUAGCUCAUCGUUAUGUCAAGUCCUUUACCUUCUGCCUCUAUGUCUGAAAUUGGGGAAAUUAUUGUCGAUAUGGACAAUAAUAAUAUCAUGAAAAAUUCUGAUGCUCCUACUAAAGAACCUACCAUCUUUCAUACAAAAAAAUUCCGUGUUGGUAGUGGUAAUAUUAUUGGAAAAGGAGUUAUUCAAGAUUUCUUUACUUGUGCCGGUGCUUUACCUUCUAUGGGUAGUUCUAUCCUUCACAGAACUAGUAGUCUUGCGGACGCUAUUGCCAUGCUUGUAGUUUAACUUGAAAGACAAUUCAUGCACAUGCAUCCUUCCAUACAAAGGAUUUUUCUGGAUUUUUCUAAUAUUGAACAUUCUUCUGUUAAGCGUGCCGCUACUAUCUUUUUGGCUCAUGAGUUUAGAUUCAUAAUAAAAGAAGCCAAAGAAAUCUUUGCGCAUUAUAGGGUGGAUGCUUGCCGUCCUCCCAUAGAGGCUAUCCUCUUUGAUCAAGAAGAAAUAAUGCAUUUUCAAUCUCUAGACUAUGUUGCUUUCAAUGAAAAUCUUAGAAAAAGAGUUCCUACCAAUGUUUUAGUUGAUAGAAUUUCUAAACUUAAUGAUGAUUUGGCUAUUCGAAAUAAUGAACUAGGAUAUUCUCUUGAAUAUAGGCUCACAAAGUUCUGUCAAAAGAAUGCUUAUAAUGAUGAAUUGGUUGUGCAUUAUGAAGGACCAAAGGAGGAACCUAUACCUCCCAAGGUCGAUCUUGGGGACUUUUGUCCCGUUAAAUUUAGCCCUUUUGAUUACUUUUGCUUGCCUCAAAGAAAACUUGCUGCCGAACAUAGAGAAUAUGAAAUGAAUUUUAAUAAUUUAUCUUACUAUUAUGGCAAUACCUAGAUCUAUUCUUGCUUGUUAUGCCUAGCUAAGGGCAUUAAACGAUAGCGCUUGUUGGGAGGCAACCCAAUUUUAUUUUUAUUCAUUGCUUUUUGCUCCUGUUUAGUAAUAAAUAAAUUAUUUAUCAUCUGUUUUGGUUGUGUUUUUUGUGUUUAAUUAGUGUUUGUGCCAAGUAGAACCGUUGGGAAGACUUGGGGAAAGUCUUGUUGAACUUGCUGUAAUAAACAGAAACUUUAGCGCUCACGAGAACUGCUGUAAUUUUUAUUUGGAGAGUGCUAUUUAGUUAAUUCUUUUUGAAGAUGAUUAAUAGAUAAAUUCCUCACGUCCAGCAAUUUAUUUUAGAAUUUUUGGGGUUCCAGAUCUUGCGCUAGCUACAGAUUACUACAGACUGUUCUGUUUUUGACAAAUUCUGUUUUUCGUGUGUUGUUUGCUUUUUUUGAUGAAUCUUUGGCUAAUAAAAUAGUUUAUAAACCAUAGAGAGGUUGGAAUACAGUAGGUAUAACACCCAUAUAAAUAAAGAAUGAGUUCAUUACAGUACCUUGAAGUGGUCUUUUGUUUUCUUUCGCUAACGGAGCUCACGAGAUUUUCUACUUUAAGUUUUGUGUUGUGAAGUUUUCAAGUUUUGGGUAAAGAUUUGAUGGAUUAUGGAAUAAGGAGUGGCAAGAGCCUAAGCUUGGGUAUGCCCAUGGCACCCCCAAGAUAAUCUAAGGACACCUAAAAGCCAAAGCUUGGGGAUGCCCCGGAAGGCAUCCCCUCUUUCGUCUACUUCUAUCGGUAACUUCACUUUGAGCUAUAUUUUUAUUCACCACAUGAUAUGUGUUUUGCUUGGAGCGUCUUUUAUGAUUUGAGUCUUUGCUUGUUAGUCUACUACAAUCAUCCUUUCUGUACACACCUUUUGAGAGAGCCAUACAUAAUUUGGAAUUUGAUAGAAUACUCUAUGUGCUUCACUUAUAUCUUUUGAGUUAUAUAAAUUUGCUCUAGUGCUUCACUUAUAUCUUUUAGAGCACGGUGGUGGAUUUGUUUUGUAGAAACUAUUGAUCUCUCGUGCUUCACUUAGAUUAUUUUGAGAGUCUUAAUAGCAUGGUAAUUUGCUUAAUAAUAAUAUGCUUGGUAUUCAAGAUUUGUAAAACUUUCUUUUGAGUGCAUUGAAUACUAAGAAAAAAAUUGAUGCUUGAUAAUUGUUUUGAGAUAUGAGGAUGGUGAUAUUAGAGUCAUGCUAGUUGAGUAGUUGUGAAUUUGAUAAAUGCUUGUUUUAAAGUUUGUGAUUCCCGUAGCAUGCACGUAUGGUGAACCGUUAUGUGAUGAAGUCGGAGCAUGAUUUAUUUAUUAAUUGUUUUCCUUAUGAGUGGCGGUCGGGGACAAGUGAUGGUCUUUUCCUACCAAUCUAUCCCCCUAGGAGCAUGCGCGUAAUACUUUGCUUUGAUAACUUCUAGAUUUUUGCAAUAAGUAUAUGAGUUCUUUAUGACUAAUGUUGAGUCCAUGGAUUAUACGCACUUUCCUUCCUUCCACCAUUGCUAGCCUCUCUAAUACCGCGCACUUUUCGCCGGUAUCAUACACCCACCAAAUACCUUCCUCAAAACAGCCACCAUACCUACCUAUCAUGGCAUUUCCAUAGCCAUUCCGAGAUAUAUUGCCAUGCAACUUUCCACCGUUCUGUUCAGUAUGACACGCUCCAUCAUUGUCAUAUUGCUAGCAUGAUCAUGUAGUUGACAUCGUAUUUGUGGCAAAGCCACCGUUCAUAAUUCUUUCAUACAUGUCACUCUUGAUUCAUUGCAUCUCCCGGUACACCGCUGGAGGCAUUCAUAUAGAGUCAUAUUCUGUUCUAAGUAUUGAGUUGUAAUUGUUGAGUCGUAAGGAAAAAAAGUGUGAUGAUCAUCAUUUUUAGAGCAUUGUCCCAAGUGAGGAAAGGAUGAUGGAGACUAUGAUUCCCCCACAAGUCGGGAUGAGACUCCGGACAAAAAAUUAAAAAGAAAAGAAAAAGAGGCCAUAAAAAAGAGAAGGCCCAAAAAAAUGAGAGAAAAAGAGAGAAGGGACAAUGUUACUAUCCUUUUACCACACUUGUGCUUCAAAGUAGCACCAUGAUCUUCAUGAUAGAGAGUCUCUCAUUCUGUCACUUUCAUAUACUAGUGGGAAUUUUUCAUUAUAGAACUUGGCUUGUAUAUUCCAAUGAUGGGCUUCCUCAAAAUGCCCUAGGUCUUCGUGAGCAAGUGAGUUGGAUGCACACCGACUUAGUUUCUUUUGUUGAGCUUUCAUAUACUUAUAGCUCUAGUGCAUCCGUUGCAUGGCAAUCUCUACUCACUCACAUUGAUAUCUAUUGAUGGGCAUCUCCAUAACCCGUUGAUACGCCUAGUUGAUGUGAGACUAUCUUCCCCUAUUUUUGUCUUCUCCACAACCACCAUUCUAUUCCACAUAUAGUGCUAUAUCCAUGGCUCACGCUCAUGUAUUGCGUGAAGAUCGAAAAAGUUUUGAAAAUGUCAAAAGUAUGAAACAAUUGCUUGGCUUGUCAUCGGGGUUGUGCAUGAUUUAAAUACUUUGUGUGGUGAAGAUAGAGCAUAACCAGACUAUAUGAUUUUGUAGGGAUAGCUUUCUUUGGCCAUGUUAUUUUGAGAAGACAUAAUUGCUUUGUUAGUAUGCUUGAAGUAUUAUUAUUUUUAUGUCAACAUGAACUUUUGUCUUGAAUCUUUUGAAUCUGAAUAAUCAUACCACAAUUAAGAAGAUUUACAUUGAAAUUAUGCCAAGUAGCACUCCGCAUCAAAAAUUCUGUUUUUAUCAUUUACCUACUCGAGGACAAGCAGGAAUUAAGCUUGGGGAUGCUUGAUACGUCUCCAACGUAUCUAUAAUUUUUGAUUGCUCCAUGCUAUAUUAUCUAUUGUUUUGGACAUUAUUGGGAUUUAUUAUCCACUUUUAUAUUAUUUUUGGGACUAACCUAUUAACCGGAGGCCCAGCCUAUAAUUGCUGUUUUUGCCUGUUUUAGGGUUUCGAAGAAAAGGAAUAUCAAACGGAGUCCAAACGGAAUGAAACCUUCGGGAACGUGAUUUUCUCACUGAAUACAACUCAGGAGACUUGGACCCUACAUCAAGCCAAUUAACAGGAUGCCACGAGGUAGGGGCGCGCCUGCCCCCCCCCCCCCCGGCGCGCCCUCCACCCUCGUGGGCCCCCUGUUGCUCCACUAACGUACUUCUUCCUCCUAUAUAUAUCCACGUACCCAUAGACGAUUAGAUAAGGAGCCAAAAACCUAAUUCCACCGCCGCAACUUUCUGUAUCCAAGAGAUCCCAUCUUGGGGCCUGUUCCGGAGCUCCGCCGGAGGGGGCAUCGAUCACGGAGGGCUUCUACAUCAUCAUCCAAGCCUCUCCGAUGAAGUGUGAGUAGUUUACUUCAGACCCACGGGUCCAUAGUUAGUAGCUAGAUGGCUUCUUCUCUCUUUUUGGAUCUCAAUACAAUGUUCUCCCCCUCUCUCGUGGAGAUCUAUUCGAUGUAAUCUUCUUUUUGCGGUGUGUUUGUUGAGACCGAUGAAUUGUGGGUUUAUGAUCAAGUCUAUCUAUGAAUAAUAUUUGAAUCUUCUCUGAAUUCUUUUAUGUAUGAUUGGUUAUCUUUGCAACUCUCUUUGAAUUAUCAGUUUGGUUUGGCCUACUAGAUUGGUUGUUCUUGCCAUGGGAGAAGUGCUUAGCUUUGGGUUCAAUCUUGCGGCGUCCUUUCCCAGUGACAGAAGGGGCAGCAAGGCAUGUAUUGCAUUGUUGCCAUCGAGGAUAACAAGAUGGGGUUUUUAUCAUAUUGCAUGAAACUAGCCGUCUACAUCAUGUCAUCUUGCUUAAGGCGUUACUCUGUUUUUAACUUAAUACUCUAGAUGCAUGCUAGAUAGCGGUCGAUGAGUGGAGUAAUAGUAGUAGAUGCAGGCAGGAGUCGGUCUACUUGUGGUCGGACGUGAUGCCUAUAUACAUGAUCAUACCUAGAUAUUCUCAUGACUAUGCUCAAUUCUGUCAAUUGCUCAACAGUAAUUUGUUCACCCACCGUAGAAUACUUAUGCUCUUGAGAGAAGCCACUAGUGAAACCUAUGGCCCCCGGGUCUCUUUCUCAUCAUACCAAUCUCCAUCACUUUAUUAUUGCUUUGCUUUUACUUUGCUUUUACUUUUUACUUUGCAUCUCUAUACCAAAAAUACCAAAAAUAUUAUUUAUCAUCUCUAUCAGAUCUCACUUUCGUAAGUGACCGUGAAGGGAUUGACAACCCCUAAGCGCAUUGGUUGCGUUGAGCUAUUGUUUUUGUGUAGGUACGAGGGACUCGCGUGUAGCCUCCUACUGGAUUGAUACCUUGGUUCUCAAAAACUGAGGGAAAUACUUACGCUACUUUGCUGCAUCAUCC
rnacentral:lncRNA from 1 species